rnacentral:rRNA from 1 species
AAUCCCCGGGCUCAACCUGGGAACUGCGUUCGAUACUGGAUGGCUAGAGUGUGGUAGAGGGGGGUGGAAUUCCUAGUGUAGCGGUGAAAUGCGUAGAGAUUAGGAGGAACACCAGUGGCGAAGGCGACUUUCUGGACUGUAACUGACACUGAGGCACGAAAGCGUGGGGAGCAAACAGGAUUAGAUACCCUGGUAGUCCACGCCGUAAACGAUGGAUACUAGGUGUAGGGGGUAUCGACCCCCCCUGUGCCGGAGUUAACGCAAUAAGUAUCCCGCCUGGGGAGUACGGCCGCAAGGCUGAAACUCAAAGGAAUUGACGGGGGCCCGCACAAGCAGCGGAGCAUGUGGUUUAAUUCGAAGCAACGCGAAGAACCUUACCAGGACUUGACAUCCCCUUGAUCGGUAUAGAGAUAUACCUUUUCUUCGGAACAAGGGAGACAGGUGGUGCAUGGUUGUCGUCAGCUCGUGUCGUGAGAUGUUGGGUUAAGUCCCGCAACGAGCGUAACCCUUAUCUUUAGUUGCCAUCAGGUAAUGCUGGGCACUCUAGAGAGACCGCCGGGGAUAACUCGGAGGAAGGUGGGGAUGACGUCAAAUCAUCAUGCCCCUUAUGUCCUGGGCUACACACGUGCUACAAUGGCCUGAAACAGAGAGAAGCGAAGCCGUAAGGUGAAGCAAACCUCAGAAACCAGGUCCCAGUUCGGAUUGUGGGCUGCAACUCGCCCACAUGAAGUCGGAGUUGCUAGCAAUCGCGAAUCAGCAUGUCGCGGUGAAUACGUUCCCGGGCCUUGUACACACCGCCCGUCACACCAUGGGAGUCGGGAGCACCCGAAGCCAGUGACCUAACCGCAAGGGAGGAGCUGUCGAAGGUGAAAUCGAUGACUAGGGUGAAGUCGUAACAAGGUAGCCGUAUCGGAAGGUGCGGCUGGAUCACCUCCUUA